GAUGAACGCUAGCGGCAGGCUUAACACAUGCAAGUCGAGGGGUAUAGUUCUUCGGAGCUAGAGACCGGCGCACGGGUGCGUAACGCGUAUGCAAUCUACCUUUUGCAGAGGGAUAGCCCAGAGAAAUUUGGAUUAAUACCUCAUGGUAUGUGAGAAUGGCAUCAUUUUCACAUUAAAGUCACAACGGCAAAAGAUGAGCAUGCGUCCCAUUAGCUAGUUGGUAAGGUAACGGCUUGCCAAGGCAACGAUGGGUAGGGGUCCUGAGAGGGCGACCCCCCACACCGGUACUGAGACACGGACCAGACUCCUACGGGAGGCAGCAGUGAGGAAUAUCGGACAAUGGGCGCAAGCCUGAUCCAGCCAUGCCGCGUGCAGGAUGACGGUCCUAUGGAUUGUAAACUGCUUUUGUACAGGAAGAAACACUGGUUCGUGAACCAGCUUGACGGUACUGUAAGAAUAAGGAUCGGCUAACUCCGUGCCAGCCGCCGCGGUAACAC
rnacentral:rRNA from 1 species